UUUAUGAUGAUGAAUUCCAAACCGUUCAUAGUUUCCACCAGAAAUACUAUGUUGGCCAGCUUCUUCCUUGGUCAUCUGAGAGA
rnacentral:snoRNA from 1 species